ACGUAGGGGGCAAGCGUUAUCCGGAUUUACUGGGUGUAAAGGGAGCGUAGACGGCAUGACAAGCCAGAUGUGAAAACCCAGGGCUCAACCCUGGGACUGCAUUUGGAACUGCCAGGCUGGAGUGCAGGAGAGGUAAGCGGAAUUCCUAGUGUAGCGGUGAAAUGCGUAGAUAUUAGGAGGAACACCAGUGGCGAAGGCGGCUUACUGGACUGUAACUGACGUUGAGGCUCGAAAGCGUGGGGAGCAAACAG
rnacentral:rRNA from 1 species